GACGAACGCUGGCGGCGUGCUUAACACAUGCAAGUCGAACGAAGAGCGAUGGAAGCUUGCUUCUAUCAAUCUUAGUGGCGCACGGGUGAGUAACGCGUAAUCAACCUGCCCUUCAGAGGGGGACAACAGUUGGAAACGACUGCUAAUGCCGCAUACGAUCUGACCUCGGCAUCGAGGAUAGAUGAACGGUGGCCUCUAUUUAUAAGCUAUCACUGCAGGAGGGGAUUGCGUCUGAUUAGCUAGUUGGAGGGGUAACGGCCCACCAAGGCGAUGAUCAGUAGCCGGUCUGAGAGGAUGAACGGCCACAUUGGGACUGAGACACGGCCCAGACUCCUACGGGAGGCAGCAGUGGGGAAUCUUCCGCAAUGGACGAAAGGCUGACGGAGCAACGCCGCGUGAGUGAUGACGGCCUUCGGGUUGGAAAGCUCUGUUAAUCGGGACGAAAGGCCUUCUUGCGAAUAGUUAGAAGGAUUGACGGUACCGGAAUAGAAAGCCACGGCUAACUACGUG
rnacentral:rRNA from 1 species